AGGGGUUCAAGAAGCUAAUGUUAAAUGCUGUGUAGGUAAAAGAUUCUGGGAAAUUCUCUAAACAAGCAGAUUAUUCCAUAUGUAAAGUUACUGGGACUGUAAGUAACUGUAGAAUCUUCUGCACAGUAUAUCAGAUGCUGUACUAUCAUGAUCUGUAUGAUAAGAUGUAAAAGCACUUAUUUUCUGUGUGUCUGUAUAUAAAUAAAUUCUGAUAGAUCAAUUAAAAUUCACAUAUUUUACAGAAUUACUUCAUCCAUUUCUUUUAAUUUAAAGAAACAUCAUUUUGGGGGUUGGCGCUGUGGCUCAAUGGGUUGACACCCUGGCCUGGAGCACCGACAUCCCAUAUAGGCAUAGGUUCUAGUCCCAGCUUCUCUUCUUCUGAUCCAGCUCUCUGCUGUGGCCUGAGAUGGCAGUGGAGGAUGGUCCAAGUCCUUAGGCCCCUGUACCCACAUGGGAGACCCAUAGGAGGCUCCUGUCUCCUGGCUUUGGAUUGGCACAGCUCUGGCCAUUGUGGUCAUCUGGGGAGUGAGCCAACGGAUGGAAGACCUCUCUCUCUGUCUCUACCUCUCUCUGUGUCCCUGUCUUUCAAAUAAAUAGAAUAAAUCUUAAAAGAAAGAGAAAUAUCAUUUUCACUUUUAUGGAAAGGGGAAUAACUGCUGUACAAUGAAAAGGAAAUUCCCUCAUCAAUAAAACUUAAAAAUAUUCAGAAAUCAUUUACUGGAAUAUAGUAUGUUCUUAUGUGUUUGAUUAUAGAUGACACAAAUACACUAUCUAUAUUCUGUUUUGGUUAAAAUUUCUGCAUGUGUGACUUCAUUUUUUCCUUAUAACCCCAAUUCUUUUAGUAUCAUAAGAUGGAAAAUGAGUUCUAUAUAGGCCCCAAUAUAGGUUAUUAUUGGCAAGGACUUGUUUAGUUUUCCUGUUCUAAAUAUUCAAAUGUUAUAACUUUAGAAAGAAAUAUAUUUAUUUACUAUACUAAUGCCUUUCUAAAAAUUUUGUAAAUCUCUAUCUUCCUUUGUAUAUACUGAUAAUACUUCUGUUACGCUGCUGGAAUUUACAGUUGUGUGUAAUGCUGAAGAACUGAAACUGUCUUGUUCACAGCUUACAGGACUGAGCAUGGCAACUUUACUGGAAGCAAGUGACCAUAGGAUUACCAUUUAAGGCAGUAUUAGCCUCCAUCUUUGAAGCCUGACACCAUUUCACUGAUGCUGGAAGAAGAAAUGGGAAAUUUCUAACAGAAGUCUGUAUUUAAUGUCAUUAGCUUUGGUAGAACACUACUAAAUAUAUAAUUAAUAUUUUAAGUUAUAACAAUUGUAAAACAUAAAAAUAAAAAUACUAUACCCUUAGGUUAAAUGAAUUGGGAUAAAUAAGUGCAUUUCCUCUAGCUACCUCCCCUAUACCUGUAGAGAUUAGCAUUAGGACAUUUAAGAAGCCAUAUUGUGCUGGAGCAGAGAGAAGAGGAAACAAACAGAAGUCAGGAGAUGUUAAUAGUUUUGGAUGUUGGGAGGAACAGCUAAACAGAAUUCUAUAAUUAAUUUAGAAUGUUUGAUCCAAAUUUGUGAGGGCUGUGGUGAGUGCUUGGAUUUAAGGAGCAUAAACUCUUAUUCCUUUC